ACUUCUUCAUACUAUAUGGACGUUGAGGUCUGCAUUGCGAUGCUUCCUCGAAUUACAAGGGUGCAGCCUUUGGCUGUCGACAAUGCAUUAGGUUUCACCACUCGUUGUUUCGACUGUCAUUUUGUGCGGCACCGAAAGCCGUCUUGCAUUUCAUGCUUGACAAUUUUCAAC
rnacentral:misc_RNA from 1 species